rnacentral:rRNA from 1 species
UUCGGUAAUGACGUUGGGAAAGCGAGCGGCGGAUGGGUGAGUAACACGUGGGGAACCUGCCCCUAAGUCUGGGAUACCAUUUGGAAACAGGUGCUAAUACCGGAUAAUAAAGCAGAUCGCAUGAUCAGCUUUUGAAAGGCGGCGUAAGCUGUCGCUAAGGGAUGGCCCCGCGGUGCAUUAGCUAGUUGGUAAGGUAACGGCUUACCAAGGCGACGAUGCAUAGCCGAGUUGAGAGACUGAUCGGCCACAUUGGGACUGAGACACGGCCCAAACUCCUACGGGAGGCAGCAGUAGGGAAUCUUCCACAAUGGACGCAAGUCUGAUGGAGCAACGCCGCGUGAGUGAAGAAGGUUUUCGGAUCGUAAAGCUCUGUUGUUGGUGAAGAAGGAUAGAGGUAGUAACUGGCCUUUAUUUGACGGUAAUCAACCAGAAAGUCACGGCUAACUACGUGCCAGCAGCCGCGGUAAUACGUAGGUGGCAAGCGUUGUCCGGAUUUAUUGGGCGUAAAGCGAGCGCAGGCGGAAAAAUAAGUCUAAUGUGAAAGCCCUCGGCUUAACCGAGGAACUGCAUCGGAUACUGUUUUUCUUGAGUGCAGAAGAGGAGAGU